rnacentral:lncRNA from 1 species
UUUAAUUUGCCACUUUACCACAUCUUCAGCGUGUGUAUUACACGCAGUUCAUAUUUUUUUGCCAUGUCAAUAAGUUAGGCUCAAUUGAAAUCAUUUGUGAAGAAGUAAAGGGUUCAAUAGGUACCUAACUUAAUUGAGGUACCUAUACGAAAAAAGUGAAAUAGUUCAGGGGCCUGUAUAUGUAUUCCGUCUUAUUAUCAUCAUCAUCAUCAUUGCUAGCCAGCCAAUCUUCAACCAGAAGUAGCAAGUCCCUCUUCAACCUGCGUAUCUCGUGGAGCAUUCUUGCUCUAACUCUUCCCAGUUCCCAUUGCAGGUCACGAACUUGAUUUUGAAGUUCAUUCACAGCGUCUUGCAGAAAAGCA